GAAACAAAAAAAAUGGGUGUGGAUGCUCUUUUGCCGUGAGAAACAAAGAAGAAAAAGGGGAAGAAAAAUUUGUUGCUCAUCCUUGGGUGCCUUGGCCGAAUAGAAGAAAGGAAAUUGAAAAAAAAAAAAAUAUUGGCUCAUCUUCCUCCUAGCUUAGCCGAUCCUUCAAGAAGAAAAGGGAAGACUUAGCAUUCGGUCACUUGAGCUUGAACUAAGCUCAAGAGCAAAGGGAAACUAGAUUGGACAAAGGAAAGGAGAAAGCAAACGAGUAGCCGAUUUGGAACCAUUCUACCCCAAACAAGGUCUCUCGGACUCUUAUUGUUUGCGUGAUCGGGACCGUCGUUGAAGUCAUCACACCGCUGAAAUCUUGUGGUAUUGUUUUCGUUGUUGAAGAACAUUUGGCAUGUAUAGGCUAUUAUAUUUUGUCGAAUUGAGGGUUGUAAACUUUAAGCCAUGUGAAAAUGGCCUAUGUGGUCGUCGAGUGGGAUGCUAGAACUUAUAGCCACGAGUCUUAGAAACUUUAAUUUCGAUAAGGUGGCCAUAAUUUGUGUCAUGUAUGAUGGAUGAUUAAGGCCAAGGAAAGAUUCAUGAAA